rnacentral:rRNA from 1 species
GACGAACGCUGGCGGCGUGCUUAACACAUGCAAGUCGAACGGAAAGGCCUCUUUCGGGGGGUACUCGAGUGGCGAACGGGUGAGUAACACGUGAGUAACCUGCCCUUGACUUUGGGAUAACUUCAGGAAACUGGGGCUAAUACCGGAUAGGAGCUCCUGCUGCAUGGUGGGGGUUGGAAAGUUUCGGCGGUUAGGGAUGGACUCGCGGCUUAUCAGCUUGUUGGUGGGGUAGUGGCUUACCAAGGCUUUGACGGGUAGCCGGCCUGAGAGGGUGACCGGCCACAUUGGGACUGAGAUACGGCCCAGACUCCUACGGGAGGCAGCAGUGGGGAAUAUUGCACAAUGGGUGGAAGCCUGAUGCAGCAACGCCGUGUGCGGGAUGACGGCUUUCGGGUUGUAAACCGCUUUCGCUCAUGACGAAGCUUUGUGUGACGGUAGUGGGUAAAGAAGCACCGGCUAACUACGU